rnacentral:rRNA from 1 species
GGCUUUGCUUGGUGGUGAGAGUGGCGAACGGGUGAGUAAUGCGUGACCGACCUGCCCCAUACACCGGAAUAGCUCCUGGAAACGGGUGGUAAUGCCGGAUGCUCCGACUCCUCGCAUGGGGUGUCGGGAAAGAUUUCAUCGGUAUGGGAUGGGGUCGCGUCCUAUCAGGUAGUCGGCGGGGUAACGGCCCACCGAGCCUACGACGGGUAGCCGGCCUGAGAGGGCGACCGGCCACAUUGGGACUGAGAUACGGCCCAGACUCCUACGGGAGGCAGCAGUGGGGAAUAUUGCACAAUGGGCGCAAGCCUGAUGCAGCGACGCCGCGUGCGGGAUGACGGCCUUCGGGUUGUAAACCGCUUUUGAUCGGGGAGCAAGCCUUCGGGUGAGUGUACCUUUCGAAUAAGCACCGGCUAACUACGUGCCAGCAGCCGCGGUAAUACGUAGGGUGCAAGCGUUAUCCGGAAUUAUUGGGCGUAAAGGGCUCGUAGGCGGUUCGUCGCGUCCGGUGUGAAAGUCCAUCGCUUAACGGUGGAUCUGCGCCGGGUACGGGCGGGCUGGAGUGC